AUAAAACAUCCGAAGUUCUAAGACCCCCCACAUGUUGUGAAUUUGGUUGGAGUAAAGAUCUAAGGGUCCAUACUGGGCUAUAAAAAUAGUGUAGUACUUGAGCAGUACUGUAAAAAUGGCAAUUAUAAAUAAUUAUGAGUGUUGAGGAGGUAAUAUGAACACUCAAGUUCAAAGCAGUAAAAUAAAAAUUAAAAAAAAAAGACAGACUUAGGUAAGCCAUCUAUCAACUCGGAGAAUGCUGAUGCUUUGUUGAAAGAGAGCUUUGUCUUACAAAUUAGGCACUUAUAAAACUCUCGCCUGCCGCCAUGUAAACGUUCUUUGCUCCUGCUUCGUCUUCUGCCGUGAUUGUGAGGCCUCCCCAGCCAUGUGGAACUACUCAUCACUCACUGCAGAUGUUACUUUAAGACAUUCUGGAGCAGCGUCAUGUGCAGGAGAAAAUAGUAUCAUCUCAGCCUUCUAUGAAAUCAAGGCAAUAUUCAUGUGAAAGUAUAUUCCAAACCCAGAACCUGAGCACAGAUUGGGACUGAGAAACACUUGUCUAGAUUGUCAGGCAAUCUGUAACAUCAGCAGUGGAUGGAAAGAAGGAGAAAGAUGAGUUUUAUGGACGCUAACCCAUCUAUAUGGCUUUGGAAAAUAAAGUACUGCUGUUUUUUUUUGUAAA
rnacentral:lncRNA from 1 species